UACAGAGGUCUCAAGCGUUGUUCGGAAUCACUGGGCGUAAAGGGUGCGUAGGCGGCGGGGAAAGUCAGACGUGAAAUCCCUCGGCUUAACCGGGGAACUGCGUCUGAUACUGGAUGGCUUGAGGUUGGGAGAGGGAUGCGGAAUUCCAGGUGUAGCGGUGAAAUGCGUAGAUAUCUGGAGGAACACCGGUGGCGAAGGCGGCAUCCUGGACCAAUUCUGACGCUGAGUGAGCGAAAGCCAGGGGAGCAAACGGG
rnacentral:rRNA from 1 species